rnacentral:rRNA from 1 species
CCUACGGGUUGCACCAGUGGGGAAUAUUGCACAAUGGAGGGAACUCUGAUGCAGCGACGCCGCGUGAACGAAGAAGGCUUUCGAGUCGUAAAGUUCUUUUAUGUGGGAAGAUAAUGACGGUACCAUAAGAAAAAGCCCCGGCUAACUACGUGCCAGCGGCCGCGGUAAUACGUAGGGGGCUAGCGUUGUCCGGAAUCACUGGGCGUAAAGGGUUCGCAGGCGGAAAUGCAAGUCAGGUGUAAAAGGCAGUAGCUUAACUACUGUAAGCAUUUGAAACUGCAUAUCUUGAGAAGAAUAGAGGUAAGUGGAAUUUUUAGUGUAGCGGUGAAAUGCGUAGAUAUUAAAAAGAAUACCGGUGGCGAAGGCGACUUACUGGGCUCAUUCUGACGCUGAGGAACGAAAGCGUGGGUAGCAAACAGGAUUAGAUACCCCCGUAGUC